AUUGGGGACGCUUCGCAUUCAU
rnacentral:miRNA from 14 species